rnacentral:rRNA from 1 species
AGUCGAACGGUAACAGAAGAGCUUGCUCUUGCUGACGAGUGGCGGACGGGUGAGUAACGUAUGGGGAUCUGCCGAAUGGAGGGGGACAACAGUUGGAAACGACUGCUAAUACCGCAUAACGUCGCGAGACCAAAGCAUGGGACCUUAGGGCCAUGCGCCAUUUGAUGAACCCAUAUGGGAUUAGCUAGUAGGUGAGGUAAUGGCUCACCUAGGCGACGAUCUCUAGCUGGUCUGAGAGGAUGACCAGCCACACUGGGACUGAGACACGGCCCAGACUCCUACGGGAGGCAGCAGUGGGGAAUAUUGCACAAUGGGGGAAACCCUGAUGCAGCCAUGCCGCGUGUAUGAAGAAGGCCUUCGGGUUGUAAAGUACUUUCGGUAGCGAGGAAGGGGUUAUAUCUAAUAGGUGUAACCAUUGACGUUAACUACAGAAGAAGCACCGGCUAACUCCGUGCCAGCAGCCGCGGUAAUACGGAGGGUGCGAGCGUUAAUCGGAAUGACUGGGCGUAAAGGGCAUGUAGGCGGAUAGUUAAGUUAGGUGUGAAAGCCCCGGGCUCAACCUGGGAAUUGCAUUUAAAACUGGUUAUCUGGAGUAUUGUAGAGGAAGGUAGAAUUCCAUGUGUAGCGGUGAAAUGCGUAGAGAUGUGGAGGAAUACCGGUGGCGAAAGGCGGCCUUCUGGACAAAUACUGACGCUGAGAUGCGAAAGCGUAGGGAGCAAACAGGAUUAAAUACCCUGGAAUCCACGCUGUAAACGAUGUCAACUUGGCAGUUUGGGUCCUAAAAACCUGGGCUCCAAAGCUAACGCAAUAAAGUUGACCGCCCUGGG